ensembl:snRNA U2 U2 spliceosomal RNA
ACCUCUUCUCGGCCUUUUGGCUAAGAUCAAGUGUCAAAAAAAUUUUUUUUACACUUAUUUUUUUUUGAGACAGAACACAA